rnacentral:rRNA from 1 species
GAUCGAGUUUGUAUCCUGGCUCAGAUUGAACGCUGGCGGAAUGCUUUACACGUGCAAGUCGAACGGUAGAGGGGGCAACCCCUUGAGAGUGGCGAACGGGUGAGUAAUAUAUCGGAACGUGCCCAGUCGUGGGGGAUAACGUAGCGAAAGUUACGCUAAUACCGGCAUACGAUCUAAGGAUGAAAGCGGGGAUCGCAAGACCUCGCGCGAUUGGAGCGGCCGAUAUCAGA